rnacentral:rRNA from 1 species
GACGAACGCUGGCGGCGUGCUUAACACAUGCAAGUCGAACGAUGAAGCCGGAGCUUGCUCCGGUGGAUUAGUGGCGAACGGGUGAGUAACACGUGAGCAAUCUGCCCUUGACUCUGGGAUAACUGCGGGAAACUGUAGCUAAUACCGGAUACGACACCUUGGGGCAUCCCAGGGUGUGGAAAGAAUUUCGGUCAAGGAUGAGCUCGCGGCCUAUCAGCUAGUUGGUGAGGUAAUGGCUCACCAAGGCGACGACGGGUAGCCGGCCUGAGAGGGUGGCCGGCCACACUGGAACUGAGACACGGUCCAGACUCCUACGGGAGGAAGCAGUGGGGAAUAUUGCACAAUGGGCGAAAGCCUGAUGCGGCAACGCCGCGUGAGGGAUGAAGGCCUUCGGGUUGUAAACCUCUUUUAGCAGGAAAGAAGCGAAAGUGACGGUACCUGCAGAAAAAGCACCGGCUAACUACGUGCCAGCCGCCGCAGUAA